rnacentral:rRNA from 1 species
GACAGAGGUGCCAAGCGUUAGGCGGAAUCACUGGGCUUAAAGCGUGUGUAGGCGGAUUUUUAAGUACCUUGUGAAAUCCCACAGCUCAACUGUGGAACUGCUCGGUAUACUGGGAAUCUUGAGCCACUUAGGGGCUGUCGGAACAAACGGUGGAGCGGUGAAAUGCGUAGAUAUCGUUUGGAACGCCAAAGGUGAAAACAGACAGCUGGGAGUGUGCGACGGCUGGAGACA